ensembl:lncRNA
CAGUACGCAUGCGCGAGCCCCGACACGGCAGUACGCAUGCGCGGAAUCAUGGACGGCAGUACGCAUGCGCGAGCCGGGAGACGGCAGUACGCAUGCGCGAGCCAAGAAACGGCAGUACGCACGCGCGACAUUUUAGACAGCAGUACGCAUGCGCGGUACGCGAGACUGUAGUGCGCAUGCGCGAUCUGCUAGACGGCAGUACGCAUGCGCAGCAUCAUAGGCAGCAGUACGCAUGUGCGUUCCAUGAAACGGCAGUACGCAUGCGCGAUAUCACGGGCCGCAGUACGCAUGCCCGGGCUCCGAGACGGCAGUACGCAUGCGCGAGCUUCGAGCCGAUGGCACCAGAGACCGCCGCAACCUUUCCGACGCAGUUUUCCUGUUUGGACAUUAGGUGGCAGCAGAUACCGUGGAAACAACUCCUCCGCCGCCUUUUAGCGGACUGCCUGGGACCGUGGGCGCGCGCAUCCCCUUCUCUCUUUCUUUUCUUGGCAGAGGAUGGUGGGGGGAAGAAGGGGAGACGACAAAGAAAAGCAAGGAAAACUUCGACAAACCCCCCAACCCCGUGCUAAAUGCUUUGGUAUACCUGUAAAUAAAUGAAUACAUAACCAGCAA